AUUGAACGCUGGCGGCAGGCCUAACACAUGCAAGUCGAGCGGAGCGGCGAACGGGUGAGUAAUGUCUCGGAAUCUGCCUGGUAGCGGGGGAUAACGACCGGAAACGGGCGCUAAUACCGCAUACUAUCAGAUCAGCCUAGGUCGGAUUAGCUAGUUGGUGGGGUAAAGGCCUACCAAGGCGACGAUCCGUAACUGGUCUGAGAGGAUGAUCAGUCACACUGGAACUGAGACACGGCCCAGACUCCUACGGGAGGCAGCAGUGGGGAAUAUUGGACAAUGGGCGAAAGCCUGAUCCAGCCAUGCCGCGUGUGUGAAGAAGGUCUUCGGAUUGUAAAGCACUUUAAGUUGGGAAGCGUUACCAACAGAAUAAGCACCGGCUAACUUCGUGCCAGCCGCCGCGGUAAUAC
rnacentral:rRNA from 1 species